AUGGCUCAGUUGCUGCAAUUGUAAAUAACUUUCUCUGUUUCUUGGCCAUCUCUCAGCAACAAGUCUUCGAGGGGUAAGAACCAAAAAGGAGUUCUGUCGAUCGGUCAUGGCGAUCCCAGAAAAUCUUAUGAAAUUCAGAAUGUGGGCAGUACCUAAAGCAUCCGAAGCUAAAGGUCUAAUGAGGAUGAAAAGCUAAAGCUAGUAUCAGAGGGUUGUGAGCCUAGAUAUAAGGGCACAAAAAGCUUGAAUCCAAGGACAUUCUAGGGGAAGUUUCGAAGACUCAUCAUGCUUUACAUAAAGUCAUGGAUAAAACAGAUGGUUAUACCUUUGGGGUGGUUCUCUUGGAGCUAGUAACAAGCUAAAAGUCAAUUGAAGUGAACAAAAGGCCAGGAGAUGAGAACUUGGUGCUGUGGGUAACUUAUCAUUUAUUCCUUUAUGUCUAACUUUCCUUUUAUUAUUAUUAAGCUACAUAUUUGUUUUAUCAGUGCUCCCCCACUCAUCAUAGUUUUACUUUUAUAUAUAUAUUUUUAUAUAUAUAUUUAUUAGAACAGCUAUUGCUUUCAUUGUGUAAUACUAUCAAAGUCUGGAUAUGAAUCACUUUCACUGAUAUUCAGCUUAGUGGGCACUUGAUUUCUGCAAAAUUUAAGGAAUCAACCAUUAUAAAAACAUUCUGAUUUUGAUUUUAGUUUUUGCUUAUGUAGCACAAAAUGCUUUAUGGAUGAUGCUUGAUAUGCAUUGAAACUUGGGUGUGAGAGAGAGAGAGAGAGAG